ACUCAAUAUGUGUGCUUGCUGUAAAUAUGGACAAAGAGUUGUCGGGUGCUUUAGGUGGGCAUACUGUGAAUAUUUGGAUGCUCAUAAAGGAAUCCCAUACAUAA